rnacentral:ncRNA from 1 species
UUAUCGACUCCGAAAGAAUGGAGGGCUUGGUUGGCUCUCGGAGUGGUAUCAAAUCUCACAUGUGCCCUCGUGUCACAUAGGCACCUCUGCGCCACUCAACCCCAUUUUAUUCAAUAUCAAGAAAACUCGAUUUCAGUUUUUUAUCACGUGUGUCAAGAGCAGUAACCUGAUCGCCAUACGACUCUCGCCGAAAACAGUUCCAGUCAAAUAGUUGUUGGUACUGCACUUCGAUCAUUCGUCAAGGUGUAAUUUAGGUGUUUUAAGUUUGUUCAUAAAGAGCGAAAACCUGUGUUCGAGUGAAAGGUUAGAAGCUUGCUUUAUCUUGAUUUUUAAAGCGAGUACACACAGUGAAAGUAUAGCCUACCGAUUCUUUUCAUCUAGAUGGUUUUUGGCAAGAAGUGUUAGAAAAGUUACUACAUAGAUAACUUGCUUGUAGCUUAUUAAGUGUCAAUAGUGACGUUGCUUUAUGAUUCUUUGAUGUCGGUUCUUCUUAUCAUUGUAAAGCAAAAUUCGUUAGGUGUUGGAUUGUGUCCUCAACGGAUUUUGACCGAUAUGAAACUAGUCCUUUGCUCGCUUUGCCUUACUGUUAAUAAAUUGUUAAUCUAGAUAGCAAUCUUGCUUAGUACGGAGCAAACAGCAAAUUUAGACAUAUGGUUGGCAGACUUUAGGGAUCGGCUAAUAGUUUGAAGCUGACGUUUGAAUGAUAAUAAGUGAACGCCUCCAAGCCAGAAUCACACAUAGUAAAGAAAACAAUAUCGUUGUUUUCCAAUAUCUAUAGAUCUCCCAACAUCUAUAUUUAUGGAAUAUCUACUGAAUGGUUUAACAUAAAUAAUGUACCAAUCCACAUUCCUCCAUUCAUAUUGGCUGGAUUAGAAGUAGCUGUUGGGCACUCUAGUGGCGUGUAGUUGAUAGUAAUAUUAAGCUGCUGUAAAAUUUGGGAUAUAACAGCAUCC